GCACGUGCGGGAUGAAGGCCUUCCGGUUGUAAUACCGCUUUUACCAGGAAGGAAAAUGACAGACCUGGAGAAUAAGGUGCGGCCAACUACGUGCCAGCAGCCGCGGUGACACGUAGGCACCAAGCGUUGUCCGGAUUUAUUGGGCGUAAAGAGCUCGUAGGCGGUUCAGUAAGUCGGGUGUGAAAACUCUGGGCUUAACCCAGAGACGCCACCCGAUACUGCUGUGACUUGAGUCCGGUAGGGGAGUGGGGAAUUCCUGGUGUAGCGGUGAAAUGCGCAGAUAUCAGGAGGAACACCAAUGGCGAAGGCACCACUCUGGGCCGAGACUGACGCUGAGGAGCGAAAGCGUGGGUAGCAAACAGGAUUAGAUACCCUGGUAGUCCAAGCCGUAAACGGUGGGCACUAGAUGUGGGUUCCAACCAACGGAAUCCGCGUCGUCGCUAACGCAUUAAGUGCCCCGCCUGGGGAGUACGGCCGCAAGGUUACAACUCAGAGGAAUUGACGGGGGCCCGCACAAGCAGCGGAGCGUGUUGCUCUAUUCGAUGCUACGCGAAGAACCUUACCUGGGUUUGACAUGUA
rnacentral:rRNA from 1 species